GCCUCCUUAGCUCAGUCGGUUAGAGCAACGGACUGUUAAUCCGUGUGUCCUAGGUUCAAGUCCUAGAGGGGGCG
rnacentral:tRNA from 1 species